UUGAUUUUAGUUUGUUAAAGAAGAAAGAGUGAAGGAAAAGAAAAGAGAGGAGAGAUUGAGGAGUGCAGGCUAUGGCUACUCAAAUCCCAAUCUCACUGAGAUAUUCAUACAUUUAAUUGUUUCCAACCAUGACGUUUUCCUUUCCCAACCUACCCUUCUUAACACACUUUCUUUUCUUUUUAUAACCAACAUUCAAAACAUCUCCUUUCAUAAUAAUUCUUCUUUUUUCUUUUCUUUUCUUUUCCUAUAACUCAAGCUUAUACAUAUCAUUUCCAUCUCAUUUCUCAAUUUUCAACAAUUCAAUCAUCAUUAUAAGCUUAAUUGUUUUCUUUUGUUUGGAGAUGUUUGUAAGAUAAUACAAUACUAUUUUGAUUCUAAUAGUUUUGUUUGUUAUUAUGCGAUCUAAUAGUGUUAAGAAUUGAAAUAAUGUUGAUGGAAAAAGGUUUAGAAAGUUUAACAUAGGUUUGAUUUAACUUUAUAUUUGAAAGUGGUUUGUGGGCCUAUAGAAGGCCCAGGUGAUAGAGGCACUGCUACUCCCAUCAGCACUGCCAUUUUUUGCUCUCUUUCUCUUCUCUUUUACAUUACUUUAUAAAUACAAACCCCAAACCCUUUCCCUUAUUUCCUCUUCACUCUUCAAACCAAAAAAUAAAAAAGAAAAAAAGAAAAGAAAAAUCUUCCUUUUUCUCUUCUCUCUCCUUCAGUCCCUCCAAUCUUUUCCUCACAGAAACUUGAAACAGAAGAGAAGCAAAAAAAAAAAAAAAAAAAAAAAGAAGCUGUAAUCUGCUUCUGCUUCAUCCAUGGCUUCCAUAGUCGGUGCUACUGCAACAACAACUACUUCAACUACUACUCCCACUGAUCCCCCUUUUUACUUCGAUGAGAAAUGGAAGUUCUCCAAGAAAGAAGGUUUAAACAGAUCAACUCGUUCUUCCUCUUUCCCCAUCAUCAAAAAUUCCUCUCACAGACGUUGUUCUUUCACAAGAAAGUGCGCUAGAUUAGUCAAAGAACAGAGAGCUCGAUUCUACAUCAUGAGACGUUGUGUCACCAUGCUCAUCUGUUGGCACGAUUACACCGAUUCUUGAACCUACCCAUCUCAUGAAACUCGUGAAUCUAAAAUACCCAUAAGAGAGAUUUUCAAAAUUUCUCUCUUUUCAUCACAUGGGUCAGGUCGAGAAACACGCUUCAAAACAGAGAAACUCCCAGAUUGGCGUAUUGAUGAAGAAGAAGAAGAAGAAGAUAGAUAGAUACAUACAUACAGCCAGGUGAGAGAAAACAAGAUGAUCUCUUCUCAUAAAAAGUUGUUAAUCUUAAGCGAGAUCGAUGAAGAAGAAAACCCCCAUCGUUUGAGAAUAUUUAUGUUUUUUUUUUUCCUGUUUUUUCUGUUUCUUGUUUUGUUUUUGGUCACUGAAUCUCCAUUAGAGUCGGUGUUUGGUGUAACUUUUUUCACAGUUUGUAUGAGAAUAUGGAGAAAGAAAAAGAGAGUUGAAAAGGAUUAAAGAGGGGUUAUUUGUAAUUCUGAAAGGGAAGCAGAAAGUGAACGGAAUUUGAUUUAUGAAGGUGUAAAAGGGAUUGAAAUUGAUGAUGACGAUUCUUUCUCAGAUCUCUCUCGAUUUACAAAUUUUGAGAUUUUACAGUGGAGAGAGAUGAAAUAAAAAUGGAGAAUUUGGGGAGAUACAACAAUAUAUAUAUAUAUAUAUAUCAAAAACAAAGUCUUUGAACAACAUGGAUGAACGUGGGGUGUGGGAAACAGAGAUGAGAGGAGCCUCCUUCAAUUCAAUUCUCCAAGGGCCAAGGCCAAACUGCUUCCACCCACUAUAUAUAUAUUAUAAUACAAAGCCUCUAGAGAUUUGAACCUUCAAGAAUAUGUCAUUAGGUUAUGUCCCUUCAAUAUUUCAUGAAAUUGUUGGAAUGACCUGAAUCAUUGACGACGCAUAUGUCAUCUCUUGUGUUAUUUAUGUUUUUGUUCUAUAAAUUCUCUAUCUCUCCCAACCUGUCUCACUUUUUUCAUGUAUUUAAAGUAUUCUUUUUAAUAAAAUCAUUUUGCUAAUGUUGUGUUAUGUUUUCA